CAAAUCCCACGGUGAAGUCAUCUAAAAAAAGUGACAUAAUUAUGAGUAGGAUUCUGUGUUUUCACAUGCAAAAGUGAUUCGUUUUGAUAAAAAUGCUUUACGUGCCUCCCCAAUGAAAACUAGUUUGAAAAUUCAAACGUAUAUUUUACGGAAAAAAUAUGUUGUAUGUUUCUGGAAGAUGCACCAUGCUGCCUUUAUUUUGACAUCAUGGCCGAUCAGCGCAGAAUACUGCUCCAUUUGAGAAAGGCGCUCCUCCCUCACCGCUUUUUCCCGUUCAAGUCAUGGGCCAUAGACCGAUGCCCCACGGCUCAGCAUAAUCAAAUCCGACGAUUCACAGCUGACAGGGCUUCUAUCCAGUCUCUGUGUUCUGUUAAUGUGUUAAUUGUAAGUAGUCUUAUCCUGAGUACAACUUGUGUUUGGUAAUUGUGCGGACAUGGAGACAGCCAGCAAAGGUUUUAUGAUGGGACAGGAUCAAUGGAGACCACACCUGGAUGCUGCUCUCAAACUCUCCCGACUAAACCUGCUGUCUCUCAUGGAUCCCUCCAACUCUCAAACUCACUUGACUCAACAUGCUGGCUCUCAGGGUCCCUCCAAAUGCCUUCUACAAGAAGAUGGAGGGGAUCUUUGCGGAUCAUGGUUACCAUGAGAAGAACUGAGAAGUUCAGACGUAAAUUGGGAAACAUGCUAAGGACUUACAAACAGGCCAAAGAACGUUGCCGGGAGACAGGCCAAGGGAGAACCACUUGGCUGUGUUUUGAGGUUAAUGUCUCUCUGGUGCAUAGGGUUAUGAUUAACACAAUAUGAUCUUCAGGAUUUCUUAUUCCCCUCAGGUAAUGAAUGACAUACAGUUUAUAAAUCAUUCACUAUUUAUUCUAACAAAAGUUUAAACAAAAAAAAACAUGUUUUGGUGUUCACACAUGUAUUUGUUUGAUUUACAAAGUCUGAACAGGACCAAGAAAAACAUCUACCGGUAUACUGAAAUUGAGAUGGUUGGCUCUAUUCUUAUGCAUUUCACUGUUCCUGUGCAUGUGACAAUAACACUUGAACUCAGAGGAGAAGGUGGUUCGAGACCUCAAUGCUGGAGGGAGUGGCUGCCAUGCAGCACAUUCUUCAGCAGAUGCUUAUAAGUCAGAAAGAAAGGGUUACACUGUUGAAAAAGGAAAAUAAAUGAUGCUUGACAUUC